AGUCUUUGUAAAAGUGACAUGAAGAGAUUUUCAUGUUGGAAAAAUGACUAGCUGCAUCAUAGAAUUAGUGUGUAAGGGUGGCUCGAGGAAGAGAGUUUCUUCACAGCUAUUGCAAUAAAUAGGGUCUACUGGAGACCUUGGCUUUUUACUUCCCUGACGUAACUUCACACUGCUGGAGCAAUGCUCACAUUGCUCAGCAAACACUGGCAAAUCUCAAGAUGCAGUUCAGGCUACUCCAUGAUGAGUGUGAGUCCCCAGGCUGUCUCUCAAACUAAAGAUUCCCCAGCCAGGCAACUCUAAAGAGUCUUCAACAAGGCAACACGAUUACUCUGUGUGCUUAGAAGAAGAGGGAUUAUAAAUGUCAGCUGUUGCUCUUUGAAUCCUGCUAAUUCAUUCAUUGACUCACUCAUCUUUCCCACAGGCACGUGCUGUGAGUUUGCUGCAUGACACUGGAGGUUAUAAAGAAAUAAAAUACUUGGGGCUUA